AGAUGAAAAACUGACUUUUGAGGGAGAGGUUUGCAUCUGUGGAGGAAAUGAAGUGAAGUAAACAACAGAUAGAAACAGGCUUUCUUUGAAGCCCCCCUUGUUGGGACCUGGGAAAGAUGAAUUGAGAGUCUGACAAUUUAAAGCUCUGACAGAAAUAUUUACUGCUGGCUACGAUUUAUUUUUUUCUGAAGGCUGCUACCUGUGAGGUUUCAUCUGCAUAGUAAGACCCCUUUGCUAGUUGCUAACUUUGGAGGAAGCCAGCUGCCAUGUCACAAAAAGAUUCAGGAAGCCAUGUGGAGAGGCCCACAUCAUGAGGAACUGAGGUCUUUGCCAAUUACCAGCAAGGAAAUGAGGCCUCCUGCCAACAGCCACGUGAGUAUCCUACCUUGGAAAUGGACCCUCUAACUUCAAUCAGCCUUCAAAUAACUGCAGCCCCAGUUGAUGGCUUGACUGCAACCUUAGGAGAAACCCUGAGCCAAAAACAUUGAGGAAAAACACCCCCAGAUUCCUAUCAGAAAUUGUGUAAGAUAAUAAAUGUUUGUUGUUUUAAGCUGCUAAGUUUUAGGGUGAUUUGUUAUACAGAAGUAGAUAACUAAUACAGAGACAGAAGAAUUACUUUUGGGAGGGUUUGAUCAUUCUGGGCCUGCAAGAAGCCUAAACUGCUUCCUACCCCUUUGUACUGAUGAGAGCUGAGGCACAUGGUCACACCUAAGAAGCUAACUGCAAGAGCACCUGGGAAAUACAGUCUAGCCAAGUGCCCAGGAGGAAGGAAACACUUUGAUAAAUAGCUGGCCAGUCUUGGCCACAUUCAGUGAGUUUAUAUUUGGGAAUGUUUGGACCACAAGAAUCUGGUGACUAUUUAUUCCAAUUCAGACAAGAUUCUUAGAGGAAAUAGGUAAAGUCUUUGACAUAGUCUCUUUUCGAGAAUGAUGCCAAAAAUGGCUGGAGUUUGUCUAUGUCUUUGGUUUGUCUAAUUUAGUAGUGCUGUCAUAACAACAGCAGCAGCAGCACCGCUACUGACAACUAACAUUCAUUGAACACCCAGGCAUUGU
rnacentral:lncRNA from 1 species